rnacentral:rRNA from 1 species
GGGUUGUGAGGUUAAGCGACUAAGCGUACACGGUGGAUGCCCUGGCAGUCAGAGGCGAUGAAGGACGUGCUAAUCUGCGAAAAGCGUCGGUAAGGUGAUAUGAACCGUUAUAGCCGGCGAUGUCCGAAUGGGGAAACCCAGUGCAAUUCGUUGCACUAUCGUUUGAUGAAUACAUAGUCAAACGAGGCGAACCGGGGGAACUGAAACAUCUAAGUACCCCGAGGAAAAGAAAUCAACCGAGAUUCCCCCAGUAGCGGCGAGCGAACGGGGAGCAGCCCGGAGUCUGAAUCAGCUUGUGUGUUAGUGGAAGCGUCUGGAAAGUCGCAGGGUACAGGGUGAUACUCCCGUACACUAAAACGCACAGGUUGUGAACUCGAAGAGUAGGGCGGGACACGUGGUAUCCUGUCUGAAUAUGGGGGGACCAUCCUCCAAGGCUAAAUACUCCUGACUGACCGAUAGUGAACCAGUACCGUGAGGGAAAGGCGAAAAGAACCCCGGCGAGGGGAGUGAAAAAGAACCUGAAACCGUGUACGUACAAGCAGUAGGAGCCUCUUUAUGGGGUGACUGCGUACCUUUUGUAUAAUGGGUCAGCGACUUAUAUUCUGUAGCAAGGUUAACCGUAUAGGGGAGCCGCAGGGAAACCGAGUCUUAACUGGGCGUUAAGUUGCAGGGUAUAGACCCGAAACCCGGUGAUCUAGCCAUGGGCAGGUUGAAGGUUGGGUAACACUAACUGGAGGACCGAACCGACUAAUGUUGAAAAAUUAGCGGAUGACUUGUGGCUGGGGGUGAAAGGCCAAUCAAACCGGGAGAUAGCUGGUUCUCCCCGAAAGCUAUUUAGGUAGCGCCUCGUGAACUCAUCUUCGGGGGUAGAGCACUGUUUCGGCUAGGGGGUCAUCCCGACUUACCAACCCGAUGCAAACUACGAAUACCGAAGAAUGUUAUCACGGGAGACACACGGCGGGUGCUAACGUCCGUCGUGAAGAGGGAAACAACCCAGACCGCCAGCUAAGGUCCCAAAGUCAUGGUUAAGUGGGAAACGAUGUGGGAAGGCCCAGACAGCCAGGAUGUUGGCUUAGAAGCAGCCAUCAUUUAAAGAAAGCGUAAUAGCUCACUGGUCGAGUCGGCCUGCGCGGAAGAUGUAACGGGGCUAAACCAUGCACCGAAGCUGCGGCAGCGACACUAUGUGUUGUUGGGUAGGGGAGCGUUCUGUAAGCCGUUGAAGGUGGCCUGUGAGGGUUGCUGGAGGUAUCAGAAGUGCGAAUGCUGACAUAAGUAACGAUAAUGCGGGUGAAAAACCCGCACGCCGGAAGACCAAGGGUUCCUGUCCAACGUUAAUCGGGGCAGGGUGAGUCGACCCCUAAGGCGAGGCCGAAAGGCGUAGUCGAUGGGAAACAGGUUAAUAUUCCUGUACUCGGUGUUACUGCGAAGGGGGGACGGAGAAGGCUAUGUUGGCCGGGCGACGGUUGUCCCGGUUUAAGCAUGUAGGCGGAUGUUCCAGGUAAAUCCGGAACGUUACUAACGCUGAGGUGUGAUGACGAGGCACUACGGUGCUGAAGUGACAAAUGCCCUGCUUCCAGGAAAAGCCUCUAAGCAUCAGGUAACAUCAAAUCGUACCCCAAACCGACACAGGUGGUCAGGUAGAGAAUACCAAGGCGCUUGAGAGAACUCGGGUGAAGGAACUAGGCAAAAUGGUGCCGUAACUUCGGGAGAAGGCACGCUGAUAUGUAGGUGAAGUGGUUUACCCAUGGAGCUGAAAUCAGUCGAAGAUACCAGCUGGCUGCAACUGUUUAUUAAAAACACAGCACUGUGCAAACACGAAAGUGGACGUAUACGGUGUGACGCCUGCCCGGUGCCGGAAGGUUAAUUGAUGGGGUUAUCCGUAAGGAGAAGCUCUUGAUCGAAGCCCCGGUAAACGGCGGCCGUAACUAUAACGGUCCUAAGGUAGCGAAAUUCCUUGUCGGGUAAGUUCCGACCUGCACGAAUGGCGUAAUGAUGGCCAGGCUGUCUCCACCCGAGACUCAGUGAAAUUGAACUCGCUGUGAAGAUGCAGUGUACCCGCGGCAAGACGGAAAGACCCCGUGAACCUUUACUAUAGCUUGACACUGAACACUGGUCCUUGAUGUGUAGGAUAGGUGGGAGGCUUUGAAGUGUGGACGCCAGUCUGCAUGGAGCCAUCCUUGAAAUACCACCCUUUAAUGGCUGGUGUUCUAACGUGGGCCCGUUAUCCGGGUUGCGGACAGUGUCUGGUGGGUAGUUUGACUGGGGCGGUCUCCUCCUAAAGAGUAACGGAGGAGCACGAAGGUCAGCUAAUCCUGGUCGGACAUCAGGAGGUUAGUGCAAUGGCAUAAGCUGGCUUGACUGCGAGCGUGACGGCGCGAGCAGGUGCGAAAGCAGGUCAUAGUGAUCCGGUGGUUCUGAAUGGAAGGGCCAUCGCUCAACGGAUAAAAGGUACUCCGGGGAUAACAGGCUGAUACCGCCCAAGAGUUCAUAUCGACGGCGGUGUUUGGCACCUCGAUGUCGGCUCAUCACAUCCUGGGGCUGAAGUAGGUCCCAAGGGUAUGGCUGUUCGCCAUUUAAAGUGGUACGCGAGCUGGGUUUAGAACGUCGUGAGACAGUUCGGUCCCUAUCUGCCGUGGGCGCUGGAGAAUUGAGGGGGGCUGCUCCUAGUACGAGAGGACCGGAGUGGACGCAUCACUGGUGUUCGGGUUGUCAUGCCAAUGGCAUUGCCCGGUAGCUAAAUGCGGAAGAGAUAAGUGCUGAAAGCAUCUAAGCACGAAACUUGCCCCGAGAUGAGUUCUCCCUGACUCCUUGAGAGUCCUGAAGGAACGUUGAAGACGACGACGUUGAUAGGCCGGGUGUGUAAGCGCAGCGAUGCGUUGAGCUAACCGGUACUAAUGAACCGUGAGGCUUAACCUUACAACGCCGAAG